GAUGAACGCUGGCGGCGUGCCUAACACAUGCAAGUCGAGCGAACAGAUGAGGAGCUUGCUCUUCUGACGUUAGCGGCGGACGGGUGAGUAACAAGUGGAUAACCUACCUAUAAGACUGGGAUAACUUCGGGAAACCGGAGCUAAUAACGGAUAAUAUCUUGAACCGCAUGGUUCAAUAGAGAAUGACGGUUUUGCUGUCAAUUAUAGAUGGAUCCGCGCCGCAUUAGCUAGUUGGUAAGGUAACGGCUUACCAAGGCAACGAUGCGUAGCCGACCUGAGAGGGGGAUCGGCCACACUGGAGCUGAGACACGGUCCAGACUCCUACGGGAGGCAGCAGUAGGGAAUCUUCCGCAAUGGGCGAAAGCCUGACGGAGCAACGCCGCGUGAGUGAUGAAGGUCUUCGGAUCGUAAAACUCUGUUAUUGGGGAAGAACAAAUGUGUAAGUAACUAUGCACGUCUUGACGGUACCUAAUCAGAAAGCCACGGCUAACUACGUG
rnacentral:rRNA from 1 species